AGUGAACGGUUACACCCAGUCGCCAUCAUUCGUACAUUGGUGGUUGGGAGGUGCGUUUUGAUCAUCAGUUGCCACAUUUUCCUUAGCAAGCUACAAUUACAAACAUAUCAACAAAUAUCCUAAAGAUGGCCUUCUCCUCACCAAUGGAUUCCCACAACGGAGUUGCAAAGAUUCUGAGUGAUGAAUACUUUCGCGAUUUGGCUUCAAAACUGGUUACAGGAGAGUGGCUGACUUUGGCUACCGAACUUCAGAAAGUCAGAGAUUGAACAGCUAAAGAAGGACCACCAGAGUGUUCCUGAUCAGAUCUUCAACAUGUUCGUGAAGUGGCGCCAGAAUCUCGGACCUAAUUUACAUCUCAGUCAUUGAGGACAGGCGAAUUGUCAAAUUCUGAAACAACUCACCUUGGUAACACAAAUGUUAACGUCACAGGAGACAAAAACACGACAAUCGUG